rnacentral:rRNA from 1 species
CUGGAGGUAUCAGAAGUGCGAAUGCUGACAUAAGUAACGAUAAAGCGGGUGAAAAGCCCGCUCGCCGGAAGACCAAGGGUUCCUGUCCAACGUUAAUCGGGGCAGGGUGAGUCGACCCCUAAGGCGAGGCCGAAAGGCGUAGUCGAUGGGAAACGGGUUAAUAUUCCCGUACUUGGUGUUACUGCGAAGGGGGGACGGAGAAGGCUAUGUUGGCCGGGCGACGGUUGUCCCGGUUUAAGCGUGUAGGUGUGUGUUCCAGGUAAAUCCGGUUCACUUUAACACUGAGGCGUGAUGACGAGGCACUACGGUGCUGAAGCAACAAAUGCCCUGCUUCCAGGAAAAGCCUCUAAGCAUCAGGUAACAUCAAAUCGUACCCCAAACCGACACAGGUGGUCAGGUAGAGAAUACCAAGGCGCUUGAGAGAACUCGGGUGAAGGAACUAGGCAAAAUGGUGCCGUAACUUCGGGAGAAGGCACGCUGACACGUAGGUGAAGUGAUUUACUCAUGGAGCUGAAGUCAGUCGAAGAUACCAGCUGGCUGCAACUGUUUAUUAAAAACACAGCACUGUGCAAACACGAAAGUGGACGUAUACGGUGUGACGCCUGCCCGGUGCCGGAAGGUUAAUUGAUGGGGUCAGCGCAAGCGAAGCUCCUGAUCGAAGCCCCGGUAAACGGCGGCCGUAACUAUAACGGUCCUAAGGUAGCGAAAUUCCUUGUCGGGUAAGUUCCGACCUGCACGAAUGGCGUAAUGAUGGCCAGGCUGUCUCCACCCGAGACUCAGUGAAAUUGAACUCGCUGUGAAGAUGCAGUGUACCCGCGGCAAGACGGAAAGACCCCGUGAACCUUUACUAUAGCUUGACACUGAACAUUGAGCCUUGAUGUGUAGGAUAGGUGGGAGGCUUUGAAGUGUGGACGCCAGUCUGCAUGGAGCCGGCCUUGAAAUACCACCCUUUAAUGUUUGAUGUUCUAACGUGGACCCGUGAUCCGGGUUGCGGACAGUGUCUGGUGGGUAGUUUGACUGGGGCGGUCUCCUCCUAAAGAGUAACGGAGGAGCACGAAGGUUGGCUAAUCCUGGUCGGACAUCAGGAGGUUAGUGCAAUGGCAUAAGCCAGCUUGACUGCGAGCGUGACGGCGCGAGCAGGUGCGAAAGCAGGUCAUAGUGAUCCGGUGGUUCUGAAUGGAAGGGCCAUCGCUCAACGGAUAAAAGGUACUCCGGGGAUAACAGGCUGAUACCGCCCAAGAGUUCAUAUCGACGGCGGUGUUUGGCACCUCGAUGUCGGCUCAUCACAUCCUGGGGCUGAAGUAGGUCCCAAGGGUAUGGCUGUUCGCCAUUUAAAGUGGUACGCGAGCUGGGUUUAGAACGUCGUGAGACAGUUCGGUCCCUAUCUGCCGUGGGCGCUGGAGAACUGAGGGGGGCUGCUCCUAGUACGAGAGGACCGGAGUGGACGCAUCACUGGUGUUCGGGUUGUCAUGCCAAUGGCACUGCCCGGUAGCUAAAUGCGGAAGAGAUAAGUGCUGAAAGCAUCUAAGCACGAAACUUGCCCCGAG